rnacentral:rRNA from 1 species
AAGCAAAGCAUGAAAUCGUAGGGCUCAACCCUACCACUGUGCUUUGAACUGCAAGACUUGAGUAUGGUAGAGGUAGCUGGAAUUUCUAGUGUAGGAGUGAAAUCCGUAGAUAUUAGAAGGAACACCAAUGGCGUAGGCAGGCUACUGGACCAUUACUGACACUGAGGCACGAAAGCGUGGGGAGCGAACGGGAUUAGAUACCCCGGUAGUCCACGCCGUAAACGAUGGAUGCUA